AUUGAACGCUAGCGGCAGGCUUUACACAUGCAAGUCGAACGAGUGGCGGACGGGUGAGUAAUGCUUGGGAAUCUAGCCAAUGGAGGGGGAUAACUACGGGAAACUGUGGCUAAUACCGCGUACCAUUGGAUGGGCCCAAAGGGGAUUAGGUAGUUGGUGAGGUAAAGGCUCACCAAGCCGACGAUCUCUAGCUGGUCUGAGAGGAUGACCAGCCACACUGGGACUGAGACACGGUCCAGACUCCUACGGGAGGCAGCAGUGGGGAAUAUUGGACAAUGGGGGAAAGCUGACGCAACCAUGCCGCGUGAAUGAAGAAGGCCUUCGGGUUGUAAAGGUCUUUCGGUUGGGAGGCGUUAACUACAGAAGAAGCACCGGCUAACUCCGUGCCAGCAGCCGCGGUAAUUC
rnacentral:rRNA from 1 species